rnacentral:rRNA from 1 species
UACGUAGGGUGCGAGCGUUAAUCAGAAUUACUGGGCGUAAAGGGUGCGCAGGCGGCUUUGUAAGAUGGGUGUGAAAUUCUCGGGCUUAACCUGAGGACUGCACUCAUGACUGCAUUGCUAGAGUACAGCAGAGGAAGAUGGAAUUCCGCGUGUAGCAGUGAAAUGCGUAGAUAUGCGGAGGAACACCGAUGGCGAAGGCAUUCUUCUGGGCUUGUACUGACGCUCAUGCACGAAAGCGUGGGGAUCAAACAGG